rnacentral:rRNA from 1 species
GAGUUUGAUCGUGGCUCAGGACGAACGCUGGCGGCGUGCCUAACACAUGCAAGUCGAGCGGGGACAGGGAGGAGCUUGCUCUGAACUGUUCUAGCGGCGGACGGGUGAGUAACGCGUGAGCAACCUGCCUCAAACAGGGGGAUAACGCAUCGAAAGAUGUGCUAAUACCGCGUAAGACCACAGCUUCACAUGGAGCAGGGGUCAAAGGAGGAAUCCGGUUUGAGAUGGGCUCGCGUCCGAUUAGCUAGUUGGUGAGAUAACAGCCCACCAAGGCGACGAUCGGUAGCCGACCUGAGAGGGUGAACGGCCACAUUGGGACUGAGAUACGGCCCAGACUCCUACGGGAGGCAGCAGUGGGGAAUA